rnacentral:snRNA from 1 species
GUACUCACUUCAGCAGCACAUAUGCUAAAAUUGGAAAAAUACAGAGAAGAUUAGCAUGGCCCUUGUGCAAGGAUGACAUACACAUUCAUAAAAUGUUCCAUAUUUUA